AUGCCUAAGGAGCAAGCAACGGUCUCCCGCCGUUGGAAGGCGGCGCCCGAGGCGCGUGGCGGCGAGGGGAUCGACGCGCUGCCGGGCGAGGUCCUGCAGCACGUACUGUCCUUCUUGCCGGUGGCGGAGGCCGUGCAGACCUGCGUGCUGGCUCGGCGCUGGCGCGACCUCUGGAAGUCCAUGCCGGUCCUGCGCAUCACCUGCGAGGGCAGGAUUCUGAACCGGCGGGGCGUCAGGAGGCUCAACAAGUUUGUGAACCAUCUGCUGCUCCUCCGUGACCGCAGCGCGCCCCUGCAUGCGUGUGAGAUAGAGCUCAGCACUUUCCAUAGCCAGGAUGAACCGCAGGUCAACUUAUGGAUCCGGCAUGCUCUCUUGUGCCAAGCUCGAGUCCUCAGUGUUCAUUUAGGCCGUGAUAACAAUAGCUUCGAGCUGCUGGAGGACCUGCCUCUCGUCUCUCUGCACUUGACGAGGUUGGAGCUUUGCAACGUAGUGUUAAAUGAUAGCAUUCUGUAUUUUUCGAGCUGCCCAGCGCUGGAAGAACUGUGGAUGAGGGGUUGCUACGUCCAAGCUGAUAUGAUCAUGUCCCAGUCCCUAAAACGCCUGACCAUCCUUGACUGCAUAUUUUAUCCAAAUGAACGGACUCGGAUUUCUGUCCCAAGUCUAGUUACACUGGAAUUAAUUGAGUGCUGGGGGAGGACUCCUUUGCUUGAAAGCAUGCCAUCAUUAGUAACAGGAUCUAUUAAGCUUGCCGACUGUGAUGAUUGUUGUGGUAAAGAAGCUGGUGGUUCGUGUGUCGAUGUUACCUGUGAAAAUUGCAGUUCCAUUGAUGAUGACACUGGAGAUUGUGUGCUUCUCAAUGGUUUGUCAGAGGCUAAAAGCUUGGAGUUGAUAGCUGAACCUUGUGUGUUUAUCCUCAAAAGAGAUUUGAUGUGGUGCCCUACCUUUAGCAAGUUAAAAACCUUGUUACUCAAUGAUUGGUGUAUGAAGGCCAAUCUUGGUGCACUCAUGUGCUUUCUCCAACAUACACCUGUUCUCGAGAAGCUUACCAUCCAGCUUUGUCAGGCACCCAGCAGUCGGAUGGGGACUGAAGGAAGCUACAAUCUGACGGGACAACCGUUUGUUUUAUCUAACAAGCUUAAGGUACUUGAAAUCAAGUGUGAGAACAUUGAUGAGAGGGUUCACAGAAUUUUAACGUUCUUGAGUACCUAUAGCAUACAUGUUGAGCAAAUCAAUAUCCAGCAGAGUAUUGGAUCUUCUGAAGCCGCCAAGAUUCCGACGUGUUGA
rnacentral:rRNA from 1 species